AGAAAGGGAGGCCAAAACGCACUCAUAAUGCUGGGGUCGGCGGUUCAAGUCCGCCCCUUGCUACCA
rnacentral:tRNA from 1 species